AAAAGGUAGCAACUUCUUUCAAACCAUGAAGGAGAUGCUCAGCAGAAUGCUGUAUAGCCUGGAUUAACAGUUAAUGUGUUUGUGUUGGUAAGAGCUUGGGAAAACAAGUUUCAGAAAUGAGCACCAAUCUUCAGUAAUAGUGUGAGUGCAUAGAGUAAACAUCACAGAUAACUGACUGUGUGGCUGGAGCAGAUGGAACCUUUUAUAGCACCAGCUGAGACAAGGUUUGGCCUGGACAAACAUCCUUGCAGAUUUGCAAUCUCCCACAAGAGCUUUCCUGUACAUGCUGGUAUCUUUUUGAGGAAGUAAAAAUGGGCUGACACUUAUUCCAGAAGUAAGUGGGAAGGAAGAUCAUCCCCAAGAUCAGGCAAUUAACGUUGGCACCAAAAAUGGUUUGAAUGAUGAGCCUUCCUUGACUCCACUGAUGCUGACAGAAGUCUAAUUCCCUGAUCAGAGAUGUAAGUGAUGAGAAGCAUGUUCUCUGCAUGCAACUGACAAACAAGUGUGACCACACUCCAUACUGGAUAUUGUGUUUAUGCUCCUCCAGUGCAGUAAUGACAGAGAAACCAUAAGUAAUCAAGACACACUGUGCAUUCCAGGAGAAACUGCCACUUGCUCAUGUCUGGCUUCAUCCUGUAAAGCGGAAAACAGCAGCGAUUGUGUGACUCUAUUCAAGUGCUAUGUGUUGUUCUGCAUCUUUCUUCUCUGCACCCCAAACUAAAAACUUUCAAAUAAAAAUA